rnacentral:rRNA from 1 species
UACGGGGGGGGCAAGCGUUGUUCGGAAUUACUGGGCGUAAAGGGCGCGUAGGCGGUUGGAUAAGUCAGCUGUGAAAACCACGGGCUUAACUCGUGGCCUGCAGUUGAGACUGUCUGGCUUGAAUCCGGGAGAGGGAUGCAGAAUUCCAGGUGUAGCGGUGAAAUGCGUAGAUAUCUGGAGGAAUACCGGUGGCGAAGGCGGCAUCCUGGACCGGCAUUGACGCUGAGUGAGCGAAAGCCAGGGGAGCAAACGGG